rnacentral:rRNA from 1 species
GUCCACACGGUAAACGAUGGGCAUUAGGUGUUGGAGGGCUCGACCCCUUCAGUGCCGCAGCUAACGCAUUAAAUGCCCCGCCUGGGGAGUACGGCCGCAAGGUUGAAACUCAAAGGAAUUGACGGGGGCCCGCACAAGCGGUGGAGCAUGUGGUUUAAUUCGAUGCAACGCGAAGAACCUUACCUGGGCUUGACAUGCUGGUUAUCAACCUGAAAGGGAAGAGACCUACGCAAGUAGGAGCCAGCACAGGUGCUGCAUGGCUGUCGU